GGGCGGUGCUGUGGCGCCGUGCGGGAGCAGGAGCGGGGCUCGGUGCGCUCGCGCCGUUCCUCGGCCCUCAUGGCUCCUGCCCGCAGGAAGGCGGCCGCGGGCGCGCGCGGCAGGAAGCUGAGCGCCUUCCUGAAGGACUUCGACCGGGAGGUGAGGAGCCGGGUCGAGCAGCUGCGGACGAACGGGGAGCGCCUGGUCAAGGAGAUGGAGAACCUGUACGACGUGGAGCUCCUCCGGCUGCCCGCGGCGCUCCGCGAGAUGAACUGGCUGGAGUUCUUCGCUAAAGGGGGAAGCCAGAAAGUCGUGGAGGAGGCGGUGACGGCAGACUUGGGAAUAACAGAAAUAAACAAGCUAACAGCAGAACUUAUCCAGACUCCUUUAAAAAUCGUCACAAAAGAAAAAUCUAAACAGGGUAUUGAAGCUACUGAAGAAGCAGCAGAGGUUCCUUUGCUUCCUCCAGCAAAGAAAGCGAAACACGAUAGCCAGCUUCUGCUGGAGCAAGCAGCUGCAAGUACUAAUCCAAGAAACGGAAAGGUGAGGACGUCCACUAAGAAAGCACCAGUGUCCAGGAGCAGAAGAGCUCCUUCAGCAAGAGUGAAACGCGUGAGUAAAAGAUCAAGCAAAAGCAGCUUUAUCACUCCAGCUACCGGCAGAAAUCUUGAUCUCUGUGCUCGAGGAGGCGCCUCCAUCGUCACGCCCAGGUUUGAUUCGAGAGUUUUCAAGACGCCGGGUUUGCGCACACCCGCAGUAAAUGAACGUGUUUACACCAUCUCUGCUAACGGCAGCCCCCUUGCUGAUGGCAAUGAUGUCUUCAUUACCGUUCCUGUUGGAGGAGGGGAGGUAAAAUCAAACUUGAGCCUGUAAAAUCCGUGCAGCAAGGGGAGCCUGUACCUUCGUGGGGGCCUAAUCAGUUUCAAGGGACUCCUGUACGUUCGUUCUCGCCCGCUUACUUGUGCCACCGCAGUUUAUCGGGAGAGCAUUCGUUUAACAGCAAGUGAUCUGACCAAGAAGAAUCUUCUUCAUCUCAAUCCGGAGGCACGAGGCAUUAUGAAGAAGCUAUCUGUUCGUCUUGCACAAGCUUGUAGCAGUGCAAAAACCCAUAGGUGAAGGGCAGUGAAUGUCAACACCUUUUGUAAACGUGGAACUACUCCUAUAAGCUACGAGUACAUUUUAUUUGGUGUCUUACAAUUCUGUGAGCAUUCAUUUAAACGAAAUGAAAUUAAAAAAAAUAAAAAAAUAAAGAAAACCA